AGUAACGGCGAGUGAACAGGGAAAAGCCCAAAUUUGUAAUCUGGCACUUUUUACAAGUGUCCGAGUUGUAAUUUGUAGAGCUGUUAUCCGUGCUGGACCAUGUACAAGUCUGUUGAAAAGCAGCAUCAUUGAAGGUGAAAAUCCUGUAGAUGAUAUGGACUACCAGUACUUUUGUGAUACGGUUUCUAAGAGUCGAGUUGUUUGGGAAUGCAGCUCAAAGUGGGUGGUAAAUUCCAUCUAAGGCUAAAUAUAAGUGAGAGACCGAUAGCAAACAAGUACCGUGAGGGAAAGAUGAAAAGAACUUUGAAAAUAGAGUUAACAGUACGUGAAAUUGCUGAAAGGGAAACGUUUGAAGUUAGUUUUGUAUUCGUUGGAUCAGCUUCGCAAGGAGUGUAUUCUGAUGAUAAGCAAGUCAACAUCAAUCUAUGAGUGCUGGAGAAGGGUUUUGAGAAUGUAGCAAUUUAAUUGUGUUAUAGCUUGAGACUUGGAUACAGUGCUUUGGAUUGAGGAACGCGUAGUAAGCUUUGAGCGGAUUCGAAAGGAUCUCCUUACUAUGGAUGUUGGUGAAAUAACUUUAAGCGACCCGUCUU
rnacentral:rRNA from 1 species